rnacentral:lncRNA from 1 species
AUUGAACAUAGUGUAAUUUGAAAAACAAGAAAUUAAUAAGUUUUUGGAUUUAAGUGUGUUACUAUUUUAGAUUGUAAUGUUGUUUUUUCCUUUCUAAAUUUCUUAUAUAUGAGUUUUUAUUACCUUUAUAAGAAUGUCUUUUAUUAAAAUGUCUUCCUGAAGCAAUAAAGUUAAAUGGCUCAAAAUUACUAUGUCUUAAUCUGAUGCAGUUACUACCAGUACUUUAGCUAUGGGAGUACAUUUGCCUGCUCACCUAGUAGUUAUAAAAUCUACAAUGCAUUAUGCUGGAGGACUGUUUGAAGAGUACAGUGAAACAGAUAUUCUACAGAUGAUUGGUAGAGCUGGUCGACCUCAAUUUGACACUACAGCUACUGCAGUUAUCAUGACUCGAUUAAGCACAAGAGACAAGUACAUUCAGAUGUUAGUUUGUAGAGACACUGUAAAAAGCAGGUUUUGCAUCUGGAUUGAACAAAGAUGGAAUUGAAGCAAAAUUACAAGAAUUAUGUUUGAAGAAUCUGAAUGAUUUAUCAUCCCUGGACUUAAUAAAGAUGGAUGAAGGUGUUAAUUUCAAACCAACUGGUAAUUCCCUAUCAUUGUCAGUAAAUUUAGCAAUUGUUUACUUAAGACUAAAUUAAAAUUUUGUUUUACUAAAGUUUAGAUGAUGAUAACUAAAUUGUGAGCUCAGUUCUCAACAGGGUGUCAUCAUUAUUAGCCGUAGGCAUGAUAAAUUUAAAC